rnacentral:rRNA from 1 species
CACGUAGGUUAUCUACCCUUUGGUGGGGCACAACCAGAGGAAACUCUGGCUAAUUCCGCAUAUGGUCCACGGAUCAAAGCCUUCGGGCGCCAAGGGAUGAGCCUGCGGCCCAUUAUUUAAUCCCUAGUUGGUGGGGUAACGGCCUACCAAGGGUACGAUGGGUAGCUGGUCUGAGAGGAUGAUCAGCCACACUGGAACUGAGACACGGUCCAGACUCCUACGGGAGGCAGCAGUGGGGAAUAUUGCGCAAUGGGGGAAACCCUGACGCAGCUACGCCACGUGAGUGAUGAAGGCCUUCGG